rnacentral:rRNA from 1 species
CUACUCGGGUAUCUAAUCCUGUUUGCUACCCAUGCUUUCGCGCCUCAGCGUCAGUGUCAGUCCAGAAGGCCGCCUUCGCCACUGGUAUUCCUCCCGAUCUCUACGCAUUUCACCGCUACACCGGGAAUUCUACCUUCCUCUCCUGCACUCAAGUCUGCCCGUUCCGGAUGCAAUUCCCAGGUUGAGCCCGGGGCUUUCACACCCGGCGUGACAGACCGCCUACGCGCCCUUUACGCCCAGUAAUUCCGAUUAACGCUUGCACCCUCCGUAUUACCGCGGCUGCUGGCAC